rnacentral:rRNA from 1 species
UGAGUAAUACAUCGGAACGUGUCUUCUAGUGGGGGAUAACUGCCCGAAAGGGCAGCUAAUACCGCAUGAGACCUGAGGGUGAAAGCGGGGGACCGCAAGACCUCGCGCUGGAAGAGCGGCCGAUGUCCGAUUAGCUAGUUGGUGAGGUAAAGGCUCACCAAGGCGACGAUCGGUAGCUGGUCUGAGAGGACGACCAGCCACACUGGGACUGAGACGCGGCCCAG